GGCGGGCCGAGGGCAGUGGUGUUUACAACUAACGAUCACAACCAGUUACAGUCCUUCGUUCCUUCUCCACUCCCACUGCUCCACUUGACCAGCCUAAA
rnacentral:Y_RNA from 1 species